rnacentral:rRNA from 1 species
GUUGCGGUUAAAAAGCUCGUAGUUGGAUUUCUGUCGGUGAGUAGCAGUCCGCUCACAGUGGUUGGUACUUGCUAUCCCACCGGCAUCUUCCUGGGGACUGUGUCUGCUCUUUAUUGAGUGGCGCAUAAUCCAGGACUUUUACUUUGAGGAAAUAGGAGUGUUUCAAGCAGGCAAUCGCCGUGAACAUGUUAGCAUGGAAUAAUAGCAUCGGACCUCGUUCCAAAGCUGUUGGUUUCUUGGACCGAGGUAAAGGUGAAUAGGGAUUGUUGGGGGCAUUCGUAUUUAACUGUCAGAGGUGAAAUUCUUGGAUUUGUUGAAGACGGACUACUGCGAAAGCAUCUACCAAAGAUGUUCUCAUUGAUCAAGAACGAAAGUUAGGUGAUCGAAGACGAUCAGAUACCGUCCUAGUCUAAACCAUAAACUAUGCCGACUGGAGAUCGGGGGUCGUUAACUU